CCACGACAGGAAAAGGACAAAAAAAAGGAAGUGGCGGUUCUCCUGCCUGAGCCGUAUCCUCCCCCUCCCCUGAACCGCCGGCCGGCGACGAGGCGAAGAAGCGAGGAGCGGAGCAAUGGCAACCGCCUCAGUGUCUUUCAAGUCGCGAGAGGAUCACAGGAAGCAACUUGAAUUGGAGGAAGCACGGAAAGCCGGUCUUGCUCCUGCAGAGGUCGAUGAAGAUGGAAAGGAGAUUAAUCCUCACAUUCCACAGUAUAUGUCCUCUGCCCCAUGGUAUCUUAAUUCAGAGAAGCCCAGUUUAAAACAUCAACGGAAAUGGAAGUCAGAUCCAAACUACACCAAGUCAUGGUAUGAUAGGGGUGCAAAAAUAUUCCACGCCAAUAAAUACAGAAAAGGUGCUUGCGAAAACUGCGGAGCUAUGACUCAUGAUAAGAAGUCAUGCAUGGAACGGCCUCGAACAGUGGGAGCUAAAUGGACUAAUAUGCAAAUAGCUCCUGAUGAGAAGGUGGAGUCAUUUGAACUAGAUUAUGAUGGGAAACGUGACCGGUGGAAUGGUUAUGAUCCAUCGACCUACACCCGUGUUAUUGCGGAGUAUGAAGCUAGAGAAGAGGCAAGGAAAAAAUACCUAAAAGAACAGCAGCUCAAAAAACUUGAAAAGAAUGGUAACCAGGAUGACAAUGAUGUGGGCAGUGAUGAGGAUACAGAGGAUGGCCUGAAGAUAGAUGAGGCUAAAGUUGAUGAGAGCAAUCAAAUGGAUUUUGCUAAGGUGGAGAAGCGUGUGCGUACCACAGGUGGUGGAAGCACUGGAACUGUGAGGAACUUGCGCAUCAGAGAAGACACAGCCAAAUACCUUCUAAACCUCGAUGUAAAUUCCGCAUAUUAUGAUCCAAAGACUCGUUCAAUGCGUGAAGAUCCUUUGCCAGAUAUGGACCCCAACGAAAAAUUCUAUGUGGGAGACAACCAAAACAGGCUUAGUGGACAAGCUCUGGAGUUCAAGCAACUCAAUCUCCAUGCCUGGGAAGCUUUUGAAAAGGGACAGGACAUCCACAUGCAGGCAGCACCAUCCCAGGCUGAAUUACUGUACAAGAGUUUCAAGAUUAAGAAAGAGAAAUUGAAGUCUGAAACAAAGGAGAAAAUUAUGGAUAAGUAUGGGAAUGCUGCUUCUGAAGAACCACUACCCCGGGAGCUUCUUCUUGGACAAAGCGAGAGAGAGAUUGAAUAUGAUCGGACUGGUCGUAUAAUUAAAGGGCAGGAUACAUCUGUUCCUAAGAGCAAGUAUGAAGAAGAUGUCUACAUUAAUAACCACACGAGUGUUUGGGGUUCAUGGUGGAAGGAUCAUCAGUGGGGCUAUAAAUGCUGCAAGCAGACUAUCAAGAACAGUUACUGCACAGGUUUGGCUGGAAUUGAGGCUGCUGAAGCUUCAGCAGAUUUGAUGAAAGCAAACAUGGCACGGAAGGAGGCUGCAGAAGAGGAGCCUGUACAACAUGAAGAGAGACGGCUUGCCACUUGGGGAACUGAUGUCCCUGAUGAUCUUGUUCUUGACAAAAAGAAGCUUGCUGAGUCUUUAAAGAAGGAGGAUGAAAGGAGACGAGAGGAGAGGGAUGAAAGGAAGAGAAAGUAUAAUGUCAAGUGGAAUGAUGAGGUCACCGCGGAGGACAUGGAAGCCUACCGUAUGAAGAAAAUCCACCAUGACGAUCCGAUGAAAGAUUUUCUUCAUUGAACAGCAGGCUUGUGUAUGUGAUAUAACUAAUAAGCAUGUUGUUGUCGGUUAUAAUGAUUGUGCUUUGAAUUCUGCAUGUCAGCAUCGUGUUUCUGGUAGUCUGAGCUCCGUUUGUGCUGUUUCUGUCACUGGAAAAUUAGAGGUGGUACUGUGAUGGAUGGAACUGCAAUAUGGAAUUUGCACACCAUGUCAAUGAUACUUUUGGGCAUGAAAGUAGGUAUUUACUCUAAUUAACUCCCAUUCUACAGUUUUGAAUUAUAAUAGUUCCUGUCUCUUCGUUUCAGAUGGGACAGCAAGACUAGCGCUUGGAUAUUUGUUGGGGAUUGGUAUGCAGUCCACCUGGACCUGAAACAAGAAACAUCAUUAUGCAAAGCUUAUCAUUGGUAGCUCAGAGGUGGGAAUCAACCUCGUCGGUGCUGCAUCCCUAUACGCCUCUCCCUAGCCACGUCCCUCGUUCCUCAUGGCGCCGCCCAAGCUUGCGGAGCUUGACCAUGACAGGGAGGCUGGCAAAACUCGUUAGCAACUGGGAGUUUGAAGCUGGCAAGCGUUUCCAAGAUAAGGUUCUUGUUUCUCUCAACUCUCCAGUUCAUCAUCCUUCCUCCUCCACUUGUGGAUCCUUCUUGCUGCUUGCGGUUUUCUGGCGGUACACCUUCAGGCUGACAGAGGAGACGGUCAGUUUGGCUCUUCAUGCUUGUCUUGGUGGAACACCGGCUGGUUUUCAUGUGUCAUAUGUGCAAGAUAGGCAUUUUCGCUUUGUGCUUUCCUGCAAGCAAGUUGGUUUCAUGGUGUGCGACCUCAAGAGAAUUAUCACAGAUUCUUUUGAUGUUUACUUUCACCUCUGGAGGGAUGGAGGGGAUUCUUGGGUUCGUGAAGAAAGAAGAUGGUUAAGAGAAGAAGCUCUCAGCUGGAAAGAAGUCUCGUACAGGAAAAAGAAGAAAGCCCCCCAUGGGAGGAGGGUCACUUUUGGAUAUCCUAUUGUGCAAGAAUCACCAGAGAAGUCCAACUCGAAGAAUGCUGACCAGCAAGCAAGGGUCAUCAAGAUUGGCAGUUUUGAAUGCAGAAUUCCUGAGCAUUAUCCCACGUCUGCAAGUCCUGAAGGUAACUGUCACAAAGAGAAAAGGACUUCUGCAAGCUCCCUGGACGACAUUCAUGGUGGAUCAACCAGCCAAGAGCGAGAGGUUGAAGAUGACAUUCAAAUUGGAAGGGUUUUUGGUAAAUCUCAAGCAUGAUCUUCGCGUUAACUCCUUGGUCGGGCAUACUGUUAACAAAACUAAGGGCCUGUUUGGGUCCCAGGAGAUAAACUUUAGUCCAUGUCA